rfam:TPA: Bos taurus chromosome 2, whole genome shotgun sequence.
UGGCUCAGAGGUUAAAGCGUCUGCUUGGAAUGCAGGAGACCCGGGUUCGAUCCCUGG